UUUAACUGAGCGUUCAGUUACUUGACGUAGACCCGAAACCGGGCGACCUACCCAUGAGCAGGAUGAAGCGAAAGUAAAAUUUCGUGGAGGUCCGAACCCACGAGCGUUGAAAAGCUCGGGGAUGACUUGUGGGUAGCGGUGAAAUUCCAAUCGAGCCCGGAGAUAGCUGGUUCUCCCCGAAAUAGCUUUAGGGCUAGCCUCAAGGUGAGAGAUACGGAGGUAGAGCACUGAAUGUCCUAGGGGGUAUUGCACCUACCGAAGACUAUCAAACUCCGAAUGCCGUCAUCUUAUACUUGGGAGUCAGACUGUGGGUGAUAAGAUUCAUAGUCGAAAGGGCAACAGCCCAGAUCGUCAGCUAAGGUCCCUAAAUGUAAGUUAAGUGGUAAAGGAUGUGGGAUUGCACAGACAACCAGGAUGUUGGCUUAGAAGCAGCCACUCAUUCAAAGAGUGCGUAAUAGCUCACUGGUCGAGUGAUCCUGCGCCGAAGAUUUCCGGGGCUAAAACUUACUACCGAAGCUACGGCAUCAGUAAUGAUGGGUAGGGGAGCUUCCCAUACGGGUUGAAGCAUGACCGUAAGGACAUGUGGACAGUAUGGGAGUGAGAAUGUUGGCAUGAGUAGCGAGAUGUGGGUGAGAAUCCCACAGGCCGUAAACCCAAGGUUUCCAGGGGAAGGUUCGUCCGCCCUGGGUUAGUCGGGACCUAAGCUGAGGCCGAAAGGCGUAGGUGAUGGACAA
rnacentral:rRNA from 1 species